CUCCCUCUCCGUCCUUGUUCAAGCCCCUGCCCCCAAUCCCCGAGCCCGCAGAAGGUGUGGGUUGGGUGGCAUUGGGUGAAGUCAGAAUAAACACUUUCAGAAAGCCCCUAGCUUCACGUCUUAGGAGUCUCCCAACGUUCUGGACUAGGGUUUUAUGACCCCAGCUUCUCUAUUUUCUAGAACUCCUGAGCUGAGAAAACCGGAGGGAGGAAGCCCUUGUCUAGAACCGUUUCAUGCGUCAAUUAUAACACGUCAGAGCCUGGGCCCUCCUUCUGGGGAAAGAUUAACAAAGCCUUAGUUCCCUUGCUCCUGGAUUAACCAGUGGUUAGUGGAGAUGCGAGAAAAGACGCUAAUGCUGGCAAGGCAAUAACAUGGACUUCCUCGCCUUAUUCCUCUUUUCAUCAGAGAUGGCAAAACCAGCAGCUCCUUCUGCCUCGAGUUGCUUACUGAACUGAAAGGAAAGGAGUGUACACAAAGAAGCCAUAGGAACAAAAGCCAGCUGGUGGUGCGCAGAUAGACCUCUGAGCUACUGCAGUGUCUGGCACUGGGCCAUAAAAGACGAACUGGGAAGGGACCCCUAUUCCUUCACAUGAAGUAAAGCCAGGGCCCCACUCUGCUGUCUUCCAAGACUAGAAGCACAGCACAGGAAGCGAAGGUAAAACGGAGGGUGGAGCAAAGGAAGCUUGUGGGAGGAAACCAUGGGCAAGCACAUCAGUGCUAAGGCUACCCACUACAGAGGGUAGGAAGAAUGCUAGCCCAAACUCAAGGGGUUUUUUUGGGUUUUUUGUUUUGUUUUGUUUUGUUUUUUAGUUUAGUUUUGUUUUUGUUUGUUUUUUUUUUAAGUUUUCAUUUCACACCCAAUCCUGUGUUGAGUUUUGAGUCUCAAAGCCCCCCCCCCUUGAAUAAUAA
rnacentral:sRNA from 1 species